CGGACGGGUGAGUAACGCGUGGAAAACCUGCCGUAUACUGGGGGAUAACACUUAGAAAUAGGUGCUAAUACCGCAUAAGCGCACAGCUUCGCAUGAAGCGGUGCGAAAAACUCUGGUGGUAUACGAUGGUUCCGCGUCUGAUUAGCUAGUUGGUGGGGUAAUGGCCUACCAAGGCAACGAUCAGUAGCCGGCCUGAGAGGGUGAACGGCCACAUUGGGACUGAGACACGGCCCAAACUCCUACGGAAGGCAGCAG
rnacentral:rRNA from 1 species